GAGUGGAUAUUGGCACUGACAGUGAGCGACUGUAAACAUCCUCGACUGGAAGCUGUGAAGCAGCAGAUGGGGCUUUCAGUCGGAUGUUUGCAGCUGCCUACUGCCUUAGACUUCAAGAAAUGUUAAUAUAGUUGCUU